rnacentral:rRNA from 1 species
UACGUAGGGGGCGAGCGUUGUCCGGAGUUACUGGGCGUAAAGCGCACGCAGGCGGUCUGCUAAGUUUGGAGUGACAGUUGGUGGCUUAACUGCCAAAGUGCUUCGAAAACUGACAGACUUGAGGGCUUCAGAGGGACACGGAAUUCCGGGUGGAGUGGUGAAAUGCGUAGAGAUCCGGAGGAACACCAAAGGCGAAGGCAGUGUCCUGGGGAGUACCUGACGCUGAGGAGCGAAAGCAUGGGGAGCGAACAGG